UACGGGGGAGGCAAGCGUUGUUCGGAAUUACUGGGCGUAAAGGGCUCGUAGGUGGCCAACUAAGUCAGACGUGAAAUCCCUCGGCUUAACCGGGGAACUGCGUCUGAUACUGGAUGGCUUGAGUUUGGGAGAGGGACGCGGAAUUCCAGGUGUAGCGGUGAAAUGCGUAGAUAUCUGCAGGAACACCCGUGGCGAAAGCGGCGCGCUGGACCACUACUGACGCUGAGGAACGAAAGCUAGGGGAGCAAACAGG
rnacentral:rRNA from 1 species